rnacentral:rRNA from 1 species
CCUGCUCAUGUAACUAAAUAGCCGCGACAAGUGCUAAGGUAGCAUAAUAAAUAGCCUCCUAAUUAGGGGAUAGAAUGAAAGGAGCCACGACUUAUUAACUGUUUCCAGACAACACCUAAAAUUAACUCUACUGUAAAAAGGCAGUUUAACAAAACCCGGACGACAAGACCCUACUGAACUUAACUCACAGUUACGCUGGGGCGGCAUAAAACCAACUCUUUUAUAAACCCUAAAUAAAAGCCAACAAAGGAAUUUAAACCAAGUUACCAUAGGGAUAACAGCAUAAUAAUUUACCAAAGCUCAUAUAAAAUAAAAAGAUUAUGACCUCGAUGUUGAAUUAAUUCACCUAAUUACAGAAAAAAGUAAAAAAGGAAGUCUGUUCGACUUAUAACCAAUUACAU